AUUGAACGCUGGCGGCAUGCCUUACACAUGCAAGUCGAACGGCAGCGGGGACUUCGGUCCGCCGGCGAGUGGCGAACGGGUGAGUAAUGUAUCGGAACGUACCAUUCAGUGGGGGAUAACUAUCCGAAAGGAUAGCUAAUACCGCAUAUUCUGUGAGCAGGAAAGCAGGGGAUCGCAAGACCUUGCGCUGAUCGAGCGGCCGAUAUCAGAUUAGCUAGUUGGUGAGGUAACGGCUCACCAAGGCUACGAUCUGUAGCGGGUCUGAGAGGAUGAUCCGCCACACUGGGACUGAGACACGGCCCAGACUCCUGCGGGAGGCAGCAGUGGGGAAUUUUGGACAAUGGGCGCAAGCCUGAUCCAGCCAUGCCGCGUGAGUGAAGAAGGCCUUCGGGUUGUAAAGCUCUUUCGGCCGGGAAGAAAUCGCAUCAGCUAAUACCUGGUGUGGAUGACGGUACCGGAAUAAGAAGCACCGGCUAACUACGUGCCAGCCGCCGCGGUAAAAC
rnacentral:rRNA from 1 species